rnacentral:ncRNA from 1 species
UGUAAGAAGGUCCCCAAAUCGGGGUUAAAAGAGAAGCAAGUGAGAGACUUGCACGGUCACGCCGCUGUGAAGACGUAGCCACAUCUCAACAAUGUCACUGGGAAACUGGGAAGGCGUAGAUGUGCGUGUUUGAUGUCUAAGUCAGAAGAACUACCUGAAU